CCGCCCAGUGCACGGGUCACGCUGGGGGGCGCCUGCGGGGCGCAAGCACGGACUUCCUGCCUCGAGGAUCUGGCAUUGUCACCCGACGUCCCCUGGUCUU
rnacentral:sRNA from 1 species